GAUGAACGCUGGCGGCGUGCCUAAUACAUGCAAGUCGAGCGAACAGAUAAGGAGCUUGCUCCUUUGAAGUUAGCGGCGGGCGGGUGAGUAACACGUGGGUAACCUACCUAUAAGACUGGGAUAACUUCGGGAAACCGGAGCUAAUACCGGAUAACAUUUAGAACCGCAUGGUUCUAAAGUGAAAGAUGGUUUUGCUAUCACUUAUAGAUGGACCCGCGCCGUAUUAGCUAGUUGGUAAGGUAACGGCUUACCAAGGCGACGAUACGUAGCCGACCUGAGAGGGUGAUCGGCCACACUGGAACUGAGACACGGUCCAGACUCCUACGGGAGGCAGCAGUAGGGAAUCUUCCGCAAUGGGCGAAAGCCUGACGGAGCAACGCCGCGUGAGUGAUGAAGGGUUUCGGCUCGUAAAACUCUGUUAUUAGGGAAGAACAAAUGUGUAAGUAACUGUGCACAUCUUGACGGUACCUAAUCAGAAAGCCACGGCUAACUACGUG
rnacentral:rRNA from 1 species